rnacentral:rRNA from 1 species
UACGUAGGGGGCAAGCGUUGUCCGGAUUUACUGGGCGUAAAGAGCGUGUAGGCGGCCAAGCAGGUCCGUUGUGAAAACUGGAGGCUUAACCUCCAGACGUCGACGGAAACCGCGUGGCUAGAGUCCGGAAGAGGAGAGUGGAAUUCCUGGUGUAGCGGUGAAAUGCGCAGAUAUCAGGAAGAACACCAAUGGCGAAGGCAGCUCUCUGGGACGGUACUGACGCUGAGACGCGAAAGCGUGGGGAGCGAAUAGG